AAGUCGUAACAAGGUCUCCGUAGGUGAACCUGCGGAGGGAUCAUUCACAUGAUUACUUUAUAAAAACAAACUGUGAACUUUAUUAUUUACCAUUCGUGUUGUUUUUACUUUCCAAUUUAUUGGUUAGUCAUUCUCAACACUGUCAUUCGAUCGAACAUAAAGAUAGUUGGCUUGUAUUGUUUACAAUACUUUCUCAGCUUUGAUUUCUGAUGUAACUAAACACUACACCAUGAUAAUCAACCAAUCAAUAGAAUUAACAACUCUAUGCCCUGGAUAUCUUGGUUCUC
rnacentral:misc_RNA from 1 species